AGGGUUCGAUUCUGGCUCAGGAUGAACGCUAGCGGCAGGCUUAACACAUGCAAGUCGAGGGGCAGCGGGUCCAGCAAUGGAUGCCGGCGACCGGCGAAAGGGUGAGUAACGCGUGAGCAACAUGCCCGACACUGGGGGAUAGUCAUUGGAAACGAUGCGUAAUACCCCGUAACACAAGGGGCCGCAUGACCUUUUUGUUGAAAGAUUCAUUGGUGUCGGAUUGGCUCGCGUGCCAUUAGGUAGACGGCGGGGUAACGGCCCACCGUGCCGACGAUGGCUAGGGGUUCUGAGAGGAAGGUCCCCCACAUUGGAACUGAGACACGGUCCAGACUCCUACGGGAGGCAGCAGUGAGGAAUAUUGGACAAUGGCCGGAAGGCUGAUCCAGCCAUGCCGCGUGCGGGAUGACGGCCUAUGGGUUGUAAACCGCUUUUGCCGGGGAGCAAUAAGGCCCACGCGUGGGCCGACGAGAGUACCCGGCGAAUAAGCAUCGGCUAACUCCGUGCCAGCCGCCGC
rnacentral:rRNA from 1 species